CCAAAAGCAUUUGGUGCAGAGAUUUUCUCAGACGUCUGUAACAACUCAUUAUCAAAGCUUCAAGAUCAGAAAGCAUGAGGGCAUCUACUUCGUGCCUGGUGUUCGGGCUGCUCCUGCUGAUGGCCUGGAUGUCUAAGGCUCAAUAGCAUGGUGAUCCUUGCACUGGGUCAGAAGCCAACUUUUGCAUGAAUGGAGGAAUAUGCUUUAAAAUACCAUCGGUUUCUACUCCCACAUGUGUCUGCAGUGCGAACUAUGAGGGCAGCCGAUGUGAGCAGUUUCAGCUGUUU